CUGCGCAAGCCUAMACAUGCAAGUCGAACGAACUCUUCGAAUUAGUGCGACGGUGAGUAACACGUGGAACGUGCCUUUAGUUCGAAUACUCAGGAAACUUGUGCUAAUACCGAAUGUGCCUUCGGGGAAAGAUUUAUCGCCUUUAGAGCGGCCCGCGUCUGAUUAGCUAGUUGGUGAGGUAAAGGCUCACCAAGGCGACGAUCAGUAGCUGGUCUGAGAGGAUGAUCAGCCACAUUGGGACUGAGACACGCCCAAACUCCUACGGGAGGCAGCAGUGGGAAUCUUGCGCAAUGGGCGAAAGCCUGACGCAGCCAUGCCGCGUGAAUGAUGAAGGUCUUAGGAUUGUAAAAUUCUUUCAGUAGGGACGAUAAUGACGGUACCUACAGAAGAAGCCCCGGCUAACUUCGUGCCAGCAGCCGCGGUAAUACGAAGGGGGCUAGCGUUGCUCGGAAUUACUGGGCGUAAAGGGAGCGUAGGCGGACAUUUAAGUCAGGGGUGAAAUCCCGGGGCUCAACCUCGGAAUUGCCUUUGAUACUGGGUGUCUUGAGUAUGAGAGAGGUAUGUGGAACUCCGAGUGUAGAGGUKAAAUUCGUAGAUAUUCGGAAGAACACCAGUGGCGAAGGCDACAUACUGGCUCAUNACUGANGCUGAGGCUCGAAAGCGUGGGRGCAAACAGGAUUAGAUANCCUGGUAGUCCACGCNGUAAACGAUGAUUGCUAGUUGUCGGGAUGCAUKCAUUUCGGUGA
rnacentral:rRNA from 1 species